GUGCGAAGCCAAGAACUGAGGUGUUACCCACCUGAGAAACCCAUCAUUUGCGGCGCCGUGUGACUCGGAGGUGACUUUUGGACACAUAAGAUGGGUAUGAGGAUCCACGUCAAAAGGAAGCCUGCUACAUUAUCUCCUGUGUAAUUUGGAUGGAUUUAACUGCAGACCAGGGAGGAACAGAAGUUCAUCUCGUUUUGCAACACCAUCUGGCAUCAGUACAUUCUAGAUCCUGCCACUUUGCUCAAAAGGACACACACCACAACAUGGACGAGCCUUGAAAACAGCAAGCCAGGCAAAAGAAGUCCAUUGUCAAAAGACAACUGUCGGCUAGGAUCUCACUACAAGAAGCAGAUAUGUAGGAGCGAGCUGUGAUGGUGACUGUUCGGAAAAUUGAGGUUUCUAAUUAUAAACAUCCUUGAAAAAUGAACCUGAAUUUUUUUUUCUUUCUCUUUUUCUCUCAUCAGUAUGCUGGGUUUUUUGUUUGUUUGUUUAUAUGGGGGGGGUAUCCUUUAAACUGAAUAAGCAUUUCUGAAUAGGAUGCCUUUUUUCUGAAAGCUUACCAUCUGAACACUGGGCUUGCGGAAGGCUAUGCCUUACAGUGGGCCCUCUAAACCAUGAAGGACACAAGUCAGCCUCCAUGGAGUUCUUUCUGACCACUGACUGCUGACAUGAAACCCGCCCCCCUUGGGCAGAGUUUGAAAAGGUGUGGCUGUGACCUCUCGGGCCAGCCCUGGAUGGAGAUGAAGGUCCGAGUCCUGGCUGAGAGGUCAGAGAGCUCUACAACCUCGCCUGUGAGAGUGUGUGCCCCCCAACCACGGUCCUUGUCUCGCUUCCUGAAUGCUGCCUGCAACGGCAAUGAAUCCACCUGCCGCCAGUCAUGACGUCACGCCAAUGGAAGUGAAUCCUUUGGACGCCAUGAUGACCUCCUGCAGUUGGUCUCCCUCCCCCGGACGGUUCCUUUUUGUCGUCCUGUUUAAUCCCUAAUAAAGAGGUCUCUAGAAAAUAUCUUCCAAAUCAAACCAAACU